UUAAGUUCAGCGGGUAUCCCCACCUGAUCCGAGGUCAACCUUGAGAAAAAAAAGGUGUUGUCCGGCGGACACGGCCCUCUCCUAAACGCUGGAAGUGAUUCUCGCUGCGCUUGAAGACGGACGGCGACGCCGAGGGGUUUGAGGCGCGCCCACAGAGGGCGGCGCCCAAUACCAAGCGUGGCUUGAGUGUUGUAAUGACG
rnacentral:misc_RNA from 1 species